AGCAGCCGCGGUAAUUCCAGCUCCAAUAGCGUAUAUUAAAGUUGUUGCAGUUAAAAAGCUCGUAGUUGAAUUUCGGGGUUAGUAGGCUGGUCGUGCCACUGGUACGUACUGGUCUCACUGAUUCCUCCUUCCUGAUGAACCGUAAUGCCAUUAAUUUGGUGUUGCGGGGAAACUGGACUGUUACUUUGAAAAAAUUAGAGUGUUUAAAGCAAGCUAACGCUUGAAUACAUUAGCAUGGAAUAAUGAAAUAGGACGUUCGAUCCUAUUUUGUUGGUUUCUAGGAUUGACGUAAUGAUUAAUAGGGAUAGUUGGGGGCAUUAGUAUUCAAUUGUCAGAGGUGAAAUUCUUGGAUUUAUUGAAGACUAACUACUGCGAAAGCAUUUGCCAAGGAUGUUUUCAUUAAUCAAGACGGAAGUAGGGGAUCGAAGACGAUCAGAUACCGUCGUAGUCUUAACCAUAAACUAUAGCCGACUAGGGAUCGGNUGAUGUUAUUUUUAAUGUACUCAUUCGGCGCCUUACG
rnacentral:rRNA from 1 species